CAGCAGCCGCGGUAAUACGAAGGGUGCAAGCGUUACUCGGAAUUACUGGGCGUAAAGCGUGCGUAGGUGGUGGUUUAAGUCUGUUGUGAAAGCCCUGGGCUCAACCUGGGAAUUGCAGUGGUUACUGGGUAACUAGAGUGUGGUAGAGGAUAGUGGAAUUUCCGGUGUAGCAGUGAGAUGCGUAGAGAUCGGAAGGAACAUCUGUGGCGAAGGCAACUAUCUGGGCCAACACUGACACUGAGGCACGAAAGCGUGGGGAGCAAACAGGAUUAGAUACCCCAGUAGUCCCUGUCUCUUAUAC
rnacentral:rRNA from 1 species